AGUUCGAGCGAAUCCCCGCAGGGGGGAAGCGGCGAAGGGGCAGUAAGGCRUGGGUAACCUACCCYGGGGACUGGKAUAGCCCUUCGAGAGAAGGGGUAAUMCCGGGCGACGUGUCGRGSSGGCAUCKSYYUGCCACCAAAUGAAUUUCGCCCYGGGAGGGGCCCAYGUGAUAUUAGCUAGUUGGURRGGUAACGGCYYACCAAGGCGAAGAUGUCUAGCGGGUGUGAGAGCACGACCCGCGCCACUGGCACUGAGACACUGGCCAGACACCUACGGGUGGCUGCAGUCGAGGAUCUUCGGCAAUGGGCGCAAGCCUGACCGAGCGACGCCGCGUGKGCGAUGAAGGCCUUCGGGUUGUAAAGCMCUGUCGAGGGGGAGAAARYUUGAUCUAUCYCUGGAGGAAGCACGGGCUAAGUUCGUGCCAGCAGCCGCGGUAAGACGAACCGUGCGAACGYUGUUCGGAAUCACUGGGCUUAAAGGGCGCGUAGGCGGGYCKYCAAGUCYGCGGUGAAAUCCYCCGGCUCAACCGGRGAACUGCCKCGGAUACUGRAGGUCUCGAGGGAGGUAGGGGUAUGCGGAACUGCGGGUGGAGCGGUGAAAUGCGUUGAUAUCCGCAGGAACUCCGGUGGCGAAGGCGGCGUGCUGGACCUCUUCUGACGCUGAGGCGCGAAGCCA
rnacentral:rRNA from 1 species